rnacentral:rRNA from 1 species
AGAAUCAACGCUGGCGGCGUGCCUAACACAUGCAAGUCGAACGCGAAAGCCCCGCAAGGGGUGAGUAGAGUGGCAAACGGGUGAGUAACACGUGGGUGACCUGCCUUCGAGUGGGGGAUAACGUCCCGAAAGGGACGCUAAUACCGCAUAACAUGCUGCCUUUUAAGAGGUGGACAUCAAAGCUGGGGACCGCAAGGCCUGGCGUUUGAAGAGGGGCCCGCGCCUGAUUAGCUAGUUGGUGGGUAAUGGCUCACCAAGGCAUCGAUCAGUA